rnacentral:rRNA from 1 species
UGACCAUGAUUACGCCAAGCUAUUUAGGUGACACUAUAGAAUACUCAAGCUAUGCAUCCAACGCGUUGGGAGCUCUCCCAUAUGGUCGACCUGCAGGCGGCCGCACUAGUGAUUGUAGUCAUAUGCUUGUCUCAAAGAUUAAGCCAUGCAUGUCUAAGUAUAAGCAAUUAUACCGCGAAACUGCGAAUGGCUCAUUAAAUCAGUUAUCGUUUAUUUGAUAGUACCUUACUACAUGGAUAACCGUGGUAAUUCUAGAGCUAAUACAUGCUGAAAAUCCCGACUUCGGAAGGGAUGUAUUUAUUAGAUUAAAAACCAAUGCCCUUCGGGGCUCUCUGGUGAUUCAUAAUAACUUCUCGAAUCGCACGGCCUUGCGCCGGCGAUGGUUCAUUCAAAUUUCUGCCCUAUCAACUUUCGACGGCUGGGUCUUGGCCAGCCGUGGUGACAACGGGUAACGGAGGGUUAGGGCUCGACCCCGGAGAAGGAGCCUGAGAAACGGCUACUACAUCCAAGGAAGGCAGCAGGCGCGCAAAUUACCCAAUCCCGACACGGGGAGGUAGUGACAAUAAAUACUGAUACAGGGCUCUUUCGGGUCUUGUUAUUGGAAUGAGUACAAUUUAAAUCCCUU